GACGAACGCUGGCGGCGUGCUUAACGCAUGCAAGUCGAACGGAAAGGCCCUGCUUUUGUGGGGUGCUCGAGUGGCGAACGGGUGAGUAACACGUGAGUAACCUGCCCUUGACUUUGGGAUAACUUCAGGAAACUGGGGCUAAUACCGGAUAGGAGCUCCUGCUGCAUGGUGGGGGUUGGAAAGUUUCGGCGGUUGGGGAUGGACUCGCGGCUUAUCAGCUUGUUGGUGGGGUAGUGGCUUACCAAGGCUUUGACGGGUAGCCGGCCUGAGAGGGUGACCGGCCACAUUGGGACUGAGAUACGGCCCAGACUCCUACGGGAGGCAGCAGUGGGGAAUAUUGCACAAUGGGCGGAAGCCUGAUGCAGCAACGCCGCGUGCGGGAUGACGGCCUUCGGGUUGUAAACCGCUUUCGCCUGUGACGAAGCGUGAGUGACGGUAAUGGGUAAAGAAGCACCGGCUAACUACGUGCCAGCAGCCGCGGUGAUACGUAGGGUGCGAGCGUUGUCCGGAUUUAUUGGGCGUAAAGGGCUCGUAGGUGGUUGAUCGCGUCGGAAGUGUAAUCUUGGGGCUUAACCCUGAGCGUGCUUUCGAUACGGGUUGACUUGAGGAAGGUAGGGGAGAAUGGAAUUCCUGGUGGAGCGGUGGAAUGCGCAGAUAUCAGGAGGAACACCAGUGGCGAAGGCGGUUCUCUGGGCCUUUCCUGACGCUGAGGAGCGAAAGCGUGGGGAGCGAACAGGCUUAGAUACCCUGGUAGUCCACGCUGUAAACGGUGGGUACUAGGUGUGGGGUCCAUUCCACGGGUUCCGUGCCGUAGCUAACGCUUUAAGUACCCCGCCUGGGGAGUACGGCCGCAAGGCUAAAACCCAAAGGAAUUGACGGGGCCCCGCACAAGCGGCGGAGCAUGCGGAUUAAUUCGAUGCAACGCGUAGAACCUUACCUGGGUUUGACAUGGAUCGGGAGCGCUCAGAGAUGGGUGUGCCUCUUUUGGGGUCGGUUCACAGGUGGUGCAUGGCUGUCGUCAGCUCGUGUCGUGAGAUGUCGGGUUAAGUCCCGCAACGAGCGCAACCCUUGUUCACUGUUGCCAGCACGUUAUGGUGGGGACUCAGUGGAGACCGCCGGGGUCAACUCGGAGGAAGGUGGGGAUGACGUCAAGUCAUCAUGCCCCUUAUGUCCAGGGCUUCACGCAUGCUGCAAUGGCUGGUACAGAGAGUGGCGAGCCUGUGAGGGUGAGCGAAUCUCGGAAAGCCGGUCUCAGUUCGGAUUGGGGUCUGCAACUCGACCUCAUGAAGUCGGAGUCGCUAGUAAUCGCAGAUCAGCAACGCUGCGGUGAAUACGUUCCCGGGGCU
rnacentral:rRNA from 1 species